rnacentral:rRNA from 1 species
GACGAACGCUGGCGGCGUGCUUAACACAUGCAAGUCGAACGAUGAAGUUCCUUCGGGAAUGGAUUAGUGGCGAGCGGGUGAGAAACACGUGAGAAACCUGCCUUUCAUUUUGGGAUAACUUCGGGAAACCGGAGCUAACACCGAAUACUCCGUCUUGGCGGCAUCGCUGAGCCGGGAAAAAAUUUUGAUGAAAGAUGGUCUCGCGGCCUAUCAGCUAGUUGGUGAGGUAAUGGCUCACCCAGGCGACGACGGGUAGCCGGCCUGAGAGGGCGACCGGCCACACUGGGACCGAGACACGGCCCAGACUCCUACGGGAGGCAGCAGUGGGGAAUAUUGGGCAAUGGGCGCAAGCCUGACCCAGCGACGCCGCGUGAGGGAUGAAGGCCUUCGGGUUGUAAACCUCUUUCAGUAGGGAAGAAGCGAAAGUGACGGUACCUAAAGAAGAAGCACCGGCUAACUAUGUGCCAGCCGCCGCAGUAA